rnacentral:rRNA from 1 species
GUCUACGGCCAUACCACCCUGAACGCGACCAAUGUUGUCUGAUCUCGGAAGCUAAGCAGGGUCGGACCUGGUUAGUACUUGGAUGGGAGAAGAGACAGAAGGAAUUUAGAUG